rnacentral:rRNA from 1 species
UGCAAGUCGAACGGAGCUUAGAGAGCUUGCUUUUUAAGCUUAGUGGCGAACGGGUGAGUAACGCGUGAGUAACCUGCCCUAGAGUGGGGGACAACAGUUGGAAACGACUGCUAAUACCGCAUAAGCCCACGGUGCCGCAUGACACUGAGGGAAAAGGAUUUAUUCGCUUUAGGAUGGACUCGCGUCCAAUUAGCUAGUUGGUGAGGUAACGGCCCACCAAGGCGACGAUUGGUAGCCGGACUGAGAGGUUGAACGGCCACAUUGGGACUGAGACACGGCCCAGACUCCUACGGGAGGCAGCAGUGGGGGAUAUUGCACAAUGGGGGAAACCCUGAUGCAGCGACGCCGCGUGGAGGAAGAAGGUUUUCGGAUUGUAAACUCCUGUCGUUAGGGACGAUAAUGACGGUGCCUAACAAGAAAGCACCGGCUAACUACAUGCCAGCAGCCGCGGUAAAACGUAGGGUGCAAGCGUUGUCCGGAAUUACUGGGUGUAAAGGGAGCGCAGGCGGGAAGACAAGUUGGAAGUGAAAACCAUGGGCUCAACCCAUGAAUUGCUUUCAAAACUGUUUUUCUUGAGUAGUGCAGAGGUAGAUGGAAUUCCCGGUGUAGCGGUGGAAUGCGUAGAUAUCGGGAGGAACACCAGUGGCGAAGGCGGUCUACUGGGCACCAACUGACGCUGAGGCUCGAAAGCAUGGGUAGCAAACAGGAUUAGAUACCCUGGUAGUCCAUGCCGUAAACGAUGGUUACUAGGUGUUGGGGGAUUGACCCCCUCAGUGCCGCAGUUAACACAAUAAGUAAUCCACCUGGGGAGUACGACCGCAAGGUUGAAACUCAAAGGAAUUGACGGGG